rnacentral:rRNA from 1 species
UCGAGAGGUGUGCUAAUACCGCAUAAUCUCUGAGGAGAAAAGCAGGGGCUCGCAAGACCUUGCGCUUUUGGAGCGGCCGAUGUCUGAUUAGCUAGUUGGUAAGGUAAUGGCUUACCAAGGCGACGAUCAGUAGAUGGUCUGAGAGGACGGCCAGCCACACUGGGACUGAGACACGGCCCAGACUCCUACGGGAGGCAGCAGUGGGGAAUUUUGGACAAUGGGCGCAAGCCUGAUCCAGCAAUGCCGCGUGAGUGAAGAAGGCCUUCGGGUUGUAAAGCUCUUUCAGUCGAGAAGAAAAGGUUGUGACUAAUAAUCAUAACUCAUGACGGUAUCGACAGAAGAAGCACCGGCUAACUACGUGCCAGCAGCUGCGGUAAUACGUAGGGUGCGAGCGUUAAUCGGAAUUACUGGGCGUAAAGGGUGCGCAGGCGGUGCGGUAAGUCAGAUGUGAAAUCCCCGGGCUUAACCUGGGAACUGC